CUGCCGUGAUGGUACCAUUUUUCGUCAGCAGCAUCUCACCCGUGUGAAUGGUGACUCCGUUGGGCUGAGCAG
rnacentral:snoRNA from 1 species